CCCACCAACCCUGCAGGCAUGUUGAUCUUGGAUUUCCAGUGUCCAGAAGUGUAUGUAUGUAAAUAUAUGGGUAGGGGUGGCCAAGGGGGAAGAGUGUGUGUCUCUGUGGGAGAAAGAGGAGAAUUGCCCCAGCAGUCCCUAGAGCCCCAGGGAGUGGAGGCCCCCACUGUGGAGCCCUGUGGUGUAUGUGUGGUAACACCAUGUCUGUGUCCCUGCUCACCGACACUGCCACUGUGUCUGGAGCUGAGUGGGGAUCAGCUAUGGUUAUUUUUUUAUUAGUAUGUGGGCUUAGAGACACAGGGCACAGCUGGGCUGACGCCCUUUCCACCAUCCAGCUCCCUCAUAUCAAGUACAUCUGUCCCCAUGCACCUAAGAUCCCUGUGACAUUCAACAUGAAGAUGGUGAUGCCCUCCUGGUUUGAACUGAUGGGGCUGAGUCCAGAGGACGAGGCUGGCAUCAAGAAGGCAGCAGAGAACAUGAAGGCCUUGAUGGAGCACCAGAUGAAGAAUGGGAUCCCUGCCAAUCAGAUUGUCCUGGGAGGCUUUUCACAGGGUGGAGUGUUGUCUCUCUACACAGCCCUCACCUGCCCCCACCCUCUGGCUGGCAUUGUGACAUUGAACUAUUGGCUGCCUCUGCACUGGGCCUUCCUCCAGGCAGCCAAUGGCAGUGCCAAGGACCUGGCCACUCUUCAGUGCCUUGGGAACUGAGCCCCAUGAUGCCUGUACAGUUUGGGACCCUGACAGUCAAGAAGCUCCGGUCUGUUGUCACACCUGCCAGGGUCCAGUUCAAGACAUAUCUGGGUGUCAUGCAUGGCUCUUGUCCUCAGGUGAUAGCAACUGUGAAGGAUUUCUCGAGAAGCUGCUGCCUCCUGUCUAACCAGAGUUGCUGGCCCCCAGUGCAGACCCCCAGCUCAUGGGGAACCCAAGAAGCAAGUGUGGCACCAUCUUGAGCCGGUCGAGCCCCUGUCUCCACCCUUCCUGACUUCAUCUUCUUCCCACAGGCCUCUGGGGCAGAUGGCAAGACCUGGCCAGGCCUUCUUUCCUGGCCUCAGCCACCUGGCCCUGUCUGCAGCAGGAAUGGGCUGCUUUCUUAUCCCAUUUUCCUGGUGGCAGGUGCCCCUGGCAGCAGAACUGGAGGGGCUGUAGGCAGCUGGAGAAAGGGGCCCAGCUGCUGACCAACUCACUCAGGAUCUCACUCAUGAGCCCCGCUUUGGGCCUCCUCCUAUGACCUCAGGGUCUGGCCCAUGGGGCCUUCCCAGGCCCCUACCCCAAUUUAUUCUGCCCAGAUAAUCUUGUGUCUAUCCUGCCUCCACUCCAGCUGCUUCUUAAGCAUGAAUUUGGCCAUGGUCCUGGGGCCCUUUUGCUGCUGUGGGUUCCCUGCCCUGGGAAGAAGUGCUGGUGAGGAAGUGGAGUCUUUUAAGGGGGACUUCCCUCAGCUGUUCUGUUUCCCCUACUUGGGAGCUGGGCCCUGCCUCCCCAUUUCCCUCCUCCCUGCAGGCCUGAAGCCUGGAGGGCUAGAAUGAGGCUCAAGGUCUCCCCUAGCUGUCUUAGCCCUACUUUUUCCCACUCUAGGGCAGGUAGGUGGUGGGGGAGGAAUUGUGUCAGGUCUUCUGUCUCAGUGGUUUUGGGUGUUUUUCUUGUUGUAUCCUAGAUUCUGAUAAAAUUAAGAAAAUUAAUUGCUUCCUAAAAAACAAAAGAAAUACCUGUUAAGCCACCACACCAGGUCUGUGGUAUUCAUUUAUGUCA